rnacentral:rRNA from 1 species
CCUGGUUGAUCCUGCCAGUAAUCAUAUGCUUCUCUCAAAGAUUAAGCCAUGCAUGUCUAAGUACAUGCCGAAAUAAGGCGAAACCGCGAAUGGCUCAUUAAAUCAGUUAUGGUUCCUUAGAUCGUUUCUUCCUACUUGGAUAACUGUGGCAAUUCUAGAGCUAAUACAUGCAGUGAGCCUGGAGCCCUUUGGGUAACGGGUGCUUUUAUUAGACCAAGAUCGAUCGGGUUUCGGCCCGUAUUGUGUGGUGACUCUGGAUAACUUUGUGCUGAUCGCAUGGCCACGAGCCGGCGACGUUUCUUUCAAGUGUCUGCCUUAUCAACUUUCGAUGGUAGGUUACUUGCUUACCAUGGUUGUUACGGGUAACGGAGAAUCAGGGUUCGAUUCCGGAGAGGGAGCCUGAGAAACGGCUACCACAUCCAAGGAAGAGCAGCAGGCGGCGCAAAUUGAGCCACUCCCGGCAGCGGGGAGGUAGUGACGAAAAAUAACAAUACGGGACUCUUUUGAGGCCCCGUAAUUGAAAUGAGUACACUCUAAAUCCUUUAACGAGGAUCAAUUGGAGGGCAAGUCUGGUGCCAGCAGCCGCGGUAAUUCCAGCUCCAAUAGCGUAUACUAAAGCUGCUGCGGUUAAAAAGCUCGUAGUUGGAUCUCAGUUCCAGACGAGUAGUGCAUCUACCCGAUGCGACGGCUCGGACUGAACAUCAUGCCGGUUCUUUCUUGGUGCACUUCAUUGUGUGCCUCGAGAUGGCCGGUGCUUUUACUUUGAAAAAAUUAGAGUGCUCAACGCAGGCGAGUCGCCUGAAUAAACUUGCAUGGAAUAAUAGAACAAGACCUCGUUUCUGUUCUGUUGGUUUUUGGAAUACGAGGUAAUGAUUAAGAGGGACGGACGGGGGCAUUCGUAUUGCGGCGCUAGAGGUGAAAUUCUUGGACCGUCGCAAGACGAACUACUGCGAAAGCAUUUGCCAAGAAUGUUUUCAUUGAUCAACGAAGAACGAGUCAGAGCUGUCGAAGGCGAGUUCAGAUAGCCCGGCCCUAGUUCUGACGGCAUAAACGAUGCCAACCAGCGAUCCGCCUGAGUUACUCAAAUGACUCGGCGGGCAGCUUCCGGGAAACCAAAGUAUUUGGGUUCCGGGGGAAGUAUGGUUGCAAAGCUGAAACUUAAAGGAAUUGACGGAAGGGCACCACCAGGAGUGGAGCCUGCGGCUUAAUUUGACUCAACACGGGAAAACUUACCCGGCCCGGACACUGGGAGGAUUGACAGAUUGAGAGCUCUUUCUUGAUUCUGGAUGGUGGUAUUUCUUAGUUGUGAGCGAUUUGUCUGGUUAUUACGAACGAGACUCUACCUAUUAAAUAGGAGUGGGGUUCCCAGCACCUUACAACCUUCUUAGAGGGACAAGCGGCUCCUAGCCGCACGAAACAGAGCAAUAACAGGUCUGUGAUGCCCUUAUAUCACGCGCGCUACACUGAAGGAAGCAGCGUGUCUUUAUCCCUGUCUGAAAAGACUGGGUAACCCGUGGAACUUCUUUCGUGAUUGGGAUAGGGGCUUGCAAUUGUUCCCCUUGAACGAGGAAUUCCCAGUAAGCGCGAGUCAUAAGCUCGCGUUGAUUACGUCCCUGCCCUUUGUCGCUACUAACGAUUGAAUGAAAUAAUGAGGAUAACCGAAUCGCGGAAAACGGCCCUUGUCGAAAUUUGCGCCGUCGUUUGGAAGAUGACCCAAUGUCGAGGAAGUAAAAGUCGUAACAAGGUUUCCGUAGGUGAACCUGCGGAAG